CCGGAUGUCUGGUCGUGGUCCAGUUCCUUGACUCUGCAGUUUCGAUCGGAUUGGAGAGAUAUUUGUGAAGAACUAAUACUGGAGAAUGUCUACAUCAACGGGCUGAUGUUUGUGGAUGCCGAAUCGUGCAGAUGUAACCGGGAAGCUUUUGCUGGACCUUAUUGCGACAGGUUUCAUUUUCGGGACUUGGAUACCACGGUUGACCCUAAUCCAUUGUGCCGAACAUACAAUUCACCCAUCGGACGCUUAGGCAAGCACGUUAUCACCACAAAUCAAGACGAACAAAUGCAGAGUGCAAGGAAGAUACUGGAAGAUAACUGCCAACCGAUGAGCAAUGAAGUUCUUCAAAUGUUACAAAGCCGGUUAGACAAGCAUUCUAUACCGCAGAACAUCCUGUUACAGUUGUUAAGACAGUGGCAAGCCAGUGACCCACGUUUUACGGAUAACCUGGGUAAUCCGUUGGCGCAUGUACGACUUCGUGCCUUGCGAAAGUUAACCUUGUUCGCACUGCGCUGGUACCUGGACAGCAAUAAUAAUGAAAAAAAUCUUUUACAUCAGCAGCGAAGUAACUCAGAGAUGAAUCUGUCUAUCGAAUCACGCCUCAUAGGAAGUAUGAAUGUGAGCGACACUUACCGGUUAGAUUUCGUCAAAAGAUUGAUUGAAGGCACAACCAUUCAUUAAAUCCGCGUCAUCUUUAAUUUCCCUUUCCUGUACACCACAGCCCCGUUCACUGCUCCCGUGAAUGCCACAGUUACGCCGCCAUCUUUCACUUUAAACGGAAAUUUCGGCGGACGGAUCUCCAACUCCAGCGUUUCGCCAUUUUUCCAAACUAUCACCUGUUACCAACCAAUCCAAGAGAGCAGCUUCUUCGGUCGUCGACCAGCGGUGAUUUUUUCCGUGAGUCUGCUUUGUAUGCCUCUCUACCAUCAUGGAAUUUACCAUUUCCGCUACGUCCUCGGCAAUGUCAACCGCGUUGGGUACGCUUUCCGGAACACUGCCACCUUCACCGGUUCUGCGAAGUCUGGUUGCAGGACUGCGGCUGUCAGUUUAGCGUUCCGCCCCUUGAUGGCAAUGGCCCUCCGUAUUAUACCAGCAUUUAUCCGCAAGUAAUCGACGAUUUUCCACUGGCGACAGUUGUCCGGAUUCUGAAACCACUCCACCAGGCAUCGGUUCUCAGCUUCCGACCAGUACCAAGUGAUAUUGUCGCAGGCACUCGGAGGCAGGCACUAGCGCAGACCUUCUCAGCUUGACGGGUUUUGCAGGAGCAUCAAGGUGUGCAAGACCAUCGAAGAUGGAUCUCCUAGCUGCUAUCGGUUACUAUCUGCAGUGUCCUCGCUAUCCGGAAACCGAUUCGUCGACGUGCCAGGUUAUUUUCCUUUCUCCCGGGUAAACCGGGAGCUACGGUCAUUGAGAGAUGUAACGGAUUGUUGUGCUGUUAGCACCGUAAGACCAAAUUUUGAAAGCUGUGCUGACAAUGACAAUAUUGUACCGAGUCACCGUGGACAGCGGCUAUCGUGGUUUUGAGUGUCUGUCGAAGCAUAUUGGUAAUCAGUAAUAGUAAUUACUGAUUACCAAUAUGCUUGGUCUGCAUGCUCGUUAGUACGCGUAUUAUUAUGACCGCAUCUGUGUGAAGAUAUUUAUGGCCAUAUG